rnacentral:rRNA from 1 species
UACGUAGGGUGCGAGCGUUGUCCGGAAUUAUUGGGCGUAAAGAGCUCGUAGGCGGUCUGUCGCGUCUGCUGUGAAAUCCCGAGGCUCAACCUCGGGCUUGCAGUGGGUACGGGCAGGCUAGAGUGCGGUAGGGGAGAAUGGAACUCCUGGUGUAGCGGUGGAAUGCGCAGAUAUCAGGAAGAACACCGAUGGCGAAGGCAGUUCUCUGGGCCUUACCUGACGCUGAGGAGCGAAAGCGUGGGGAGCGAACAGG